rnacentral:tRNA from 1 species
GCCUGGGUAGCUCAGUAGGUUGAGCGUCUGACUUUGGCUCAGGUCAUGAUUUCACAGUUUGUGAGCUCGAGCCCCGCGUCAGGCU